rnacentral:rRNA from 1 species
ACGGGUGAGUAACACGUGGGUGAUCUGCCUCGCACUUCGGGAUAAGCCUGGGAAACUGGGUCUAAUACCGGAUAUGACCAGGGACUGCAUGGUUUUUGGUGGAAAGAUUUAUCGGUGCGAGAUGGGCCCGCGGCCUAUCAGCUUGUUGGUGGGGUAAUGGCCUACCAAGGCGACGACGGGUAGCCGGCCUGAGAGGGCGACCGGCCACACUGGGACUGAGACACGGCCCAGACUCCUACGGGAGGCAGCAGUGGGGAAUAUUGCACAAUGGGCGAAAGCCUGAUGCAGCGACGCCGCGUGAGGGAUGACGGCCUUCGGGUUGUAAACCUCUUUCGACAGGGACGAAGCGCAAGUGACGGUACCUGUAGAAGAAGCACCGGCCAACUACGUGCCAGCAGCCGCGGUAAUACGUAGGGUGCGAGCGUUGUCCGGAAUUACUGGGCGUAAAGAGCUUGUAGGCGGUUUGUCGCGUCGUCUGU